CACGUCAGUGACUUAAAUUACGGGAAUCGGCUUCAAUUGCUGGAAUCGGUAGGUGUGUAUUUUGUCUCUUUCUGUUCAAAUACAUUGCGCCUGCGUCAAUAGACUCUCUGUUGUCUAAUAAUUCCGGACAAAUGGACAGUGACCUCAAACCUUAGCCUUAAUUUUGCUGAAGCCGCGAUUAAGUUCGUCAUUGAUCUCGGAGAAGCCAUCGAUUGGAAAAUAGGUCCAACACGCCUGCUGUUUGAACGCACAAACACCCAUUUAUAAAACGGACAAGUUUGCAGUAGUGAAGUACAUUCAGUAGUGACGAACAAUACCAAGAAGAGCGCUUAGAUUGCAAGAGGUUCGGAGUUGCGCAAAAACAAUUAAGGAGAUGAUUAAGAAUCUGAAAAUGAAUGCAACCGUAUCAAGGCUUUUUUGCGCUGUCUUUGUGUCCUGUGUUCUCAUACCAUCAUUAGCCUAUAGUUCGCAGCAUGCCUCAUCAUCAGAUGGAAGUAGACACCGUUUUAAAAGAGCGCUCCCGUUAGGUUUUCUUUUACGAAACCAAAACCAGCCGCCUGCUUUGUCAAGACCACUAAAACCCAGCAUUGGCAGCGUGCUCCGACCAGCUGUUUCCCCGGGAGAAACUUCAUCUUCACAGCUACAGGAUUUACGUGAAUUUUUAACAUUUUUAAGAUAUAAAGAGGAUGGAUCGUUUAUGGCCUGCUUGAUGGAGAAACAACUGGAAAAGGAGUUACAUGAGAUGUUAGAAUCUGGCCAGUGAGGAUGACAUUCUUUAUCUACGUUGUUUUAACUGAAUUUUUUCCGAUCUGUCAUAAGAGAAAUGCCUCUUGUUACCACUUUAUGUUUCACAUUUGACGUUUACACUUUAUUCUCGUCUAUUGCGAUGUUUUGGACAGCUGGCACGUUAUACUGGGAUAUGCUAGGGAGUUAUAUUUGAUAUUUUGAUCCAAUUUACUAAUCCAGUCCACGAUAAGUUUUUGCUAAUAAUCACAUUGUAAUCAGACGAAAUACUAGAACGAGUCCUUCCAGGAUAAUUGAUACGGACACACCUUUCUCUGUCAUUUCUGACGCAAUUUUAGUUCGGUAUCUGUAAGGAUCAUGAUAUUAGGCCUAUAAUUUGGUAUCAUAAGGAUACAAAAUUCAUAUACGGUGUGUUUGUGUUUUGCUCCCUUUUGGUGUAAGUCCGAGGUGAUUAAAUUUCAAUACAUUUUAUAAUCAAUA